UGCUUGCUCAGAACCUGUGGUAUUGAUUCUUCCUUAACCAUUUUUGUAUAGUUUUCUUGAUAUUUUAACUAAAACUCAUCAUUGUAAUAUACGAUCAUUAUCAGACAUAAUUAUUGUUCAGGAGGUUUCCCCAACUUGCAAAAGAACGUAUUACCUUAUUACAUAAAGAACACAUUUCAUGAGAAGAAGUUAAUUUUCAUUCAUAGUUUUUAUUUUAAGAUAUGUGUUUAAUGCACCUGAAAAUCCAUUAUCACUAUCAUUUCCCAAAAGCGGAGCACGAAGCUCCAUGCCAUGAAAGCGAAUUGACAGUUGUUUGUCAUGUCUGUUAGUAUUAGUACAAUUCAGGCAAUUUUUCGUCUAAUGUAAUAGUAUGUGUGCACUAUUGACGUUUGUUUGUUGAUUUUGAAACCAGUUGAUAAUUUGCAAGUGAUAUGAAAUUUUUAUUUCACUUCUUCAACAACUUCCAGUGUUGUGGAACUAAUUCUGUGAUGCAAGUUUCUGCUCAAAGAGAAGCAAUGGUCACAGGUGCACGAUGUCAUCAUUUAGCAUAUUGCCACGGACUGUGUUAUUAACGGCAACAUCCCUUAUCUGAAAUAAUUAUUGAACGAGUUCGGGGAAGUCAAACAAAUCUUCAAUCGGUUCAUGGAGGGGCGGAUUUCGAGCGGCUUUAUCGAGCUGAAUGAGAAGUUUGACCUGACCGGCGACGCGAUCGACGACGAGACCAAGGCACUCCAGCCAAAACAGUCAGAUAUGUGCUCUGUGGUCUAAAUGUUCCAAUGCCCGACGCCAAAGCAUCGGUUCUGUCAGAACGAAAUUCCAGCUUAUCUGAUUCGGUCAUUCUUUGCCCCGGAUCCGCGUACUGAUAGCUGUGAUGCGAAUUGGGCUCGAGAAGCUGCCCAUGCCCCAGGAUUACGUGCUCGAGGAAUUGCGGUAUAUGUUGAGCUCGUUCUUCGACGAGGAUCAGCGGAAGCAGCAAUGGAAUAGUGUUUGAACGAAUUAUGUUAUUUUAUUCGUAAUUUGUUUACUGUAUUAAUGAAAUAAAAAAAAACUCUAGAAUGAAUG